CCUACGGGAUGCAGCAGUAGGGAAUCUUUCACAAUGGGCGAAAGCCUGAUGGAGCAACGCCGCGUUCAGGAUGAAGGCCUUCGGGUUGUAAACUGCUUUUAUAAGCGAGAAAUAUGAUGGUAACUUAUGAAUAAGCACCGGCUAACUCCGUGCCAGCAGCCGCGGUAAUACGGAGGGUGCAUGCGUUACUCGGAAUCACUGGGCGUAAAGAGCGCGUAGGCGGGAUAGCAAGUCAGAUGUGAAAUCCUAUGGCUUAAGCAUAGAACUGCCUUUGAAACUGUUAUUCUAGAGUAUGGGAGAGGUAGGUGGAAUUCGUGGUGUAGGGGUAAAAUACGGAGAGAUCAAGCGGAAUACUCAUUGCGAAGGCG
rnacentral:rRNA from 1 species